AUCCUCAAAUGAACAAUUGAAACCCUAUUCCCCCAAAUUUCCCAAUCCACGUUCCCUAUUUCCUUGAAACCGCUCCACCGCUUCACAUAUCGUUGUUGACGAGCAGGAGGAGGAACCACCAGCUUCACCGCGUCCCCAGCUCCUCCACAGCUUCGUCGAGUCUUCAUCGCUUCAAAGCCUCCUCAGUUCCUCAUCGCUACCCUCGGAUCUCUUCCUUCAUCGAUGUCCUCGAGCUCCAUCUUUGUUCGUCGUUCCAGCUCGCUUUCUACUCGCCAAAAAUCUCCAUUUGCACUGGGUUUUCUUCCUCAGGUAAUACUUAGAAACAAAGUGACUUUCAGGGAAGGGGAUCUUGAUUUCUCUACGGCUCUGGACUUGAUUCAAUACCGAUCUUGGAUUUGGCUUAAGGCAAAGGUUAAAGGUCCUUUCUUCUCGCUGUUGAAUGGUAAAAAAACCCACCUUAUGUUUGGGUUCUUUGUAAAUUUAGUCAGCUAUGGUGCCCUCUCUGUUAAUUACAAAGUCUGGAAUGUUGGGGUUGUGCUGUUUUGCUUCUGAAGAGAGACUCGUGGUGUUGUUAUCCUAUUUUUUCUUGUGGAUCUUUUGCUGGUUUUCCCCUUGUGCUGUAAAGAUUGGUACCUUUUUAGCAUUGGUCUUGUUAAGGCCUCUUAAUGAUUAACGAGAUUCUGGAAUGUUUUUUGGCUUUUGAGGCUGUGUUGCUGGUGUUUAUAUGUUUGCAAGGGCUCUUAAUCUUACUGGUCUCCUGGGUAUGUGGGGUUUUUUUUUGAAAGGGAUGGUGUUUUGCUUGGUUUGAUUGGAAUGGCUUUGUUGCCUCAUUUUUGUAGGUAGCAAUAGGAAGCAAAAAGCUCCUCUUUUCUUUGCGUUGCUAGGUUCUGGACCUCUGGUAGUUCUUAGUUUUUUGUUCUGUUUGAGUAUCAGAUUCUGUUUGAGUAUCAGAUUAUUGAUUAUUUACUGGUUUAGAAUUAGAGCAGCACAUUUCAACAAAGGUCCCUCAUGGUGUAAGACAAGGAAUUAAAGCAUGAAUUGAAGUCAGUGAUAUAUGUUGACGCCUUUUGAUCUCACAUUCUUUUUGAAUCUCUUUAAGUAUGAGUGGCCUCGUUUUUGUUUUUUAUGACACAGGGUUAUUACUUGAAUAACAUUAUGCUUCAACAAGUGACUCUUUUGAUACAGGAGGUAUGUGAAGGGAAGGGUUAGGUAUCUCUAAGAGAACCUUAAGAAGUAAAGGCUUGGAUUUCUGCAAAGGCAGUUGCAUGUUGCAUGGAAAUUGAUAAUAUCACGUACAGAAGGUGAACCAUACUUCUUUACAUUUGGAAAAUCAGAGGGGGACUCACUCCUUGCUGCUCUUCCAAUGACAGUUUCUCUUUUAUGUUCUUAAUUUUCUGAUGUUGGAAAGGCUUAUAUGAGCAAAUUGGCAUGACAGGUUUUUGGUGCUCUUAUCAUUGAAAAGCUUCUUUCUGUUCCUACCAUGCCCAUGUACCAGUAGUAUAGAACAUUUGAGCCAAAGUCUAUGAGGUCUCAUCCAUAGUAGUCAAUAGCGGCAAAUAGCGGCGCUAUAGCGGCGUAGCGGAGCGGAGCGGCUCCCUGCCGCUAUUGAGAUGAAAUAGCGGCCAACUUCACAAUAGCGGUCGUAGCGGUGCGAAUAGCGGCCAAAAUAGCGGCAGAUCGCGGCCAAUAGCGGGAAAUAGCGGCGCUAUAUGAACGAAGGAGAAAAUGACUCAAGCCCCUUCGUUUUAAAUUGUUGGGGAACCUUUUUAUGGGCAUGUUAGGACUUCUCAGGGCCAUUAUAGGUCAAAAUUGAUAGAAUUAAGCUUCAUUCUUCAUUCAGAUUUGCAAAUUCGACUUCUUUACCUUGCUUUUGAGAAGUUAUUAGUUGUGUGUUAUUGUUCAAGACUCAUGAUUUUUAUUUCUAUUAUGAAUGUUAUGAAUUUUAGGCAAUA